GCUGGCGGCGUGCUUAACACAUGCAAGUCGAACGGAAAGGCCCUGCUUUUGUGGGGUGCUCGAGUGGCGAACGGGUGAGUAACACGUGAGUAACCCGCCCUUGACUUUGGGAUAACUUCAGGAAACUGGGGCUAAUACCGGAUAGGAGCUCCUGCUGCAUGGUGGGGGUUGGAAAGUUUCGGCGGUUGGGGAUGGACUCGCGGCUUAUCAGCUUGUUGGUGGGGUAGUGGCUUACCAAGGCUUUGACGGGUAGCCGGCCUGAGAGGGUGACCGGCCACAUUGGGACUGAGAUACGGCCCAGACUCCUACGGGAGGCAGCAGUGGGGAAUAUUGCACAAUGGGCGGAAGCCUGAUGCAGCAACGCCGCGUGCGGGAUAACGGCCUUCGGGUUGUAAACCGCUUUCGCCUGUGACGAAGCGUGAGUGACGGUAAUGGGUAAAGAAGCACCGGCUAACUACGUGCCAGCAGCCGCGGUGAUACGUAGGGUGCGAGCGUUGUCCGGAUUUAUUGGGCGUAAAGGGCUCGUAGGUGGUUGAUCGCGUCGGAAGUGUAAUCUUGGGGCUUAACCCUGAGCGUGCUUUCGAUACGGGUUGACUUGAGGAAGGUAGGGGAGAAUGGAAUUCCUGGUGGAGCGGUGGAAUGCGCAGAUAUCAGGAGGAACACCAGUGGCGAAGGCGGUUCUCUGGGCCUUUCCUGACGCUGAGGAGCGAAAGCGUGGGGAGCGAACAGGCUUAGAUACCCUGGUAGUCCACGCUGUAAACGGUGGGUACUAGGUGUGGGGUCCAUUCCACGGGUUCCGUGCCGUAGCUAACGCUUUAAGUACCCCGCCUGGGGAGUACGGCCGCAAGGCUAAAACUCAAAGGAAUUGACGGGGCCCCGCACAAGCGGCGGAGCAUGCGGAUUAAUUCGAUGCAACGCGUAGAACCUUACCUGGGUUUGACAUGGAUCGGGAGUGCUCAGAGAUGGGUGUGCCUCUUUUGGGGUCGGUUCACAGGUGGUGCAUGGCUGUCGUCAGCUCGUGUCGUGAGAUGUUGGGUUAAGUCCCGCAACGAGCGCAACCCUUGUUCACUGUUGCCAGCACGUUAUGGUGGGGACUCAGUGGAGACCGCCGGGGUCAACUCGGAGGAAGGUGGGGAUGACGUCAAGUCAUCAUGCCCCUUAUGUCCAGGGCUUCACGCAUGCUACAAUGGCUGGUACAGAGAGUGGCGAGCCUGUGAGGGUGAGCGAAUCUCGGAAAGCCGGUCUCAGUUCGGAUUGGGGUCUGCAACUCGACCUCAUGAAGUCGGAGUCGCUAGUAAUCGCAGAUCAGCAACGCUGCGGUGAAUACGUUCCCGGGGCUUGUACACACCGCCCGUCAAGUCAUGAAAGUUGGUAACACCCGAAGCCGGUGGCCUAACCGUUGUGGGGGAGCCGUCGAAGGUGGGACUGGUGAUUAGG
rnacentral:rRNA from 1 species